GAAGCGGCGCUCCGCACGGGGCCGGGGCCACUGCCUGCAACCAGCCUCUUGCUAGUGAUGGGUCCUCUCCCCUCCACCCCCGGGCACGCGGAGAAGCCCUUGCUGGCAGAGGGCAGCGGACGAGGUCUCUCUCCUGGAUGCUGUGACGUCUGGAAGGGACAGCUGUAGCCACUGAGGCCGUUCGGGCCACACGGCCGAGCAACGGUGUGGACCGAGUGACUGGAGCAAGCGACAGGACCUAGGGGACCCGCGAGCCGGCGCCCGCACCAGCGCACCGCAGCUGGCCAGCCUUCCGGGCCCCGAAGCUGCCUCUGCUCGCCCGGCCUCCGUGCACCACGGAUCUCCGGGACGGGGCGGGGGCACCUUCGCCACCACCACACACCUAGGCCAGAGGACCCCUCCCCUGAGAGUAUCCGGAAGUUUGUCACAAAAGCGUUUUUACAUAAGAUCUACAAUGCAGAUGGCUCCAGGGCAACCGUUCAUUCUACACAGUGAGGGGUACAGAGUCUGGGAGAAGGCAGCUCCGGCUGCCAGCAGUGGAACGGGCCGCGUGUCCUGGACGGCGCCAGCUGAGCGCACGCGGCCCUGUCCGACGGCCGCACCGUGUCCUCUGAAACAGAAGCGCUAAUCGGAUCAACAGAAGAGAAGGCUUCCAGCCAACAGAAUCCCCAGCCAGCCCGUGUGCUGGAGAAAACAAGACCAAUGUGGCAAGAGCCGAGCUCUCUGCACCGGAAAUUACGCCGUUUUCUGGCUCCAAAAAACCACGUUGGCUGCAGACCCCGGGUUUUGGGCCUCGCGCGGCCACCUGGGUGACAUCUAGCAUCUGGCCGGCCCCACCCAGACGGCGCCCAUCCCCCGGUCCCCAGAUACGGACGGUCACGUGCAGACAGGGCACACACGCCUCCUUGUACCGUCCAGCCUGGCGUGGGGACGGGCUGGCCCUGCGCCUCGGGAACCCCAGGCCGGUGCGGCCCGCAACGCCUCUCUGACGCCCCGCCUCCCAGCGAGAAGCAGCGUGUGCGCGUCGCGAUGGCCAGAAAGGGCUGCAGGGACUCACCACAAAGCAGCUGGCCCGGCGUGCCUGGCUGUGACAGGGCAGCUCCCCUGUGACGGUCACUGCCACCCUCCACCUCACUGACGGACCACCCCUGAGCCCCUGCACCCACAGCGGGGAGGCGUUCAGAGAGGGACGGAGCACCAGGAAGCUGACAGGUGCCAGCUCCCCCGAUGGCGCCAGGCGUCUGGCCCGGAACCUUCUCCAGGAAUGGUUCAGAGAAGCAUCCAAAGGAGGCCGAGCCCCGGACACUGACAGGCUCCCCUGCCGAUCAGGAGGUCCCCUUCCCAUGUAGGAGGUCUGUGGCACACGGAGACCAGUGGGGCCCCUGCCUGGGGACUGCCCGGAGCCCAUUAGGCCACACUCACCAGUAGAAGUAAUAGGCCAGGGCCACAGUGACCAGGGCGGUGCACACGCCUGAGAAGAGGCAGGCCAAGUAGCUGGACAGCAUCUUCGGACCCCUCGCCCGCAGUGCCGUCAGAGUCCGUGAGCAGAGGAGGGGACCAGCGGCCUGAGCGGUGUCAGCCCCCGGCUGGCGGAUGAGGACGAGGAUUGCGUCCGGACCCACGGUGCCCGUGUCCGAUGGGCCGGGGCCGCCACCUGCUCAGCCCAAAGGGGAGCACGCGCUCCGGGCACCUCCCACCCGGCCGCACCCUGCAGCCUCACAGAGCCACCCGGACGAACACAGGGCUCCCUGAACGGCAGCCUCACCCCUCCCGCUGCAGGGGCCUGUGGGGGCCACUAAUCCAGUAAGCAGCUUUGCCGGGAGCCUCUGUGAGCAGGUGGCUCACGCCGGGGGCUGGGCCGGGAUGCAGGUCGUUGGCCCAGGCACACGCACUGCCUCCCCCUCCUUUCUGAAGCCACAAAGGCACGACCCCAGAACAGCAGGGCCUGGGGUGGGCCGUGGGCUCAGCCAGUGACGGGGAGCCCACGCUUGGCCACCGGGCCACCAGGUGACAGACAGACACACCCUGUAUUCGGGGCUGGGUCUUGGCCCACAGCUGCACCCCCCCCCAUGGCAGACGAGGGCUCCCGGGAAAAGCCGCACCUCUUACUCUCAGGGAGACGGCGCUGGGGGAAUGAGGGAAGGUGGGGGGGUGCCUCUCCCCUGUCUCCCUGAGGCUUCAGAUCUGUGACGGGGCGCAGAUCAGGUGACCCAGGAACAGAACUGUCACCCACCAAACCUGCUCCCAGUGAAGAAGCGUCACCUGAGGAAGCGGGAGGGGGAGCUUUGAUCAGGAGGGCGCCCUGAGGGCUCUUCUGGCCCGAGGGCCUCCCUCAAGGCUGUGGCUUGGUCAUCACUGGGCGCCCUCCAGGCACCCUACACAGGAUACCGGCCCAGUGCUCCCACCCUGCGCCCUGGGCACCACAUCGAGCCUCAGCACAGAACUUCCAUGGGGCCCUGAGGCAGCUGGUUCUGGGGCCUCCAGACAGGUGACUGCAAAGCUCCGCCCAGAGGCAUCUGUCACCUGGCUUCUGGCCUGACGGUCACUGACCCUGCACUCUGUCCACUGGGAGGGGCGGAAGAUUGCCCUGAGCAUCGUCUUGCUGGCUAAGGCUUCCCGAGUCCUUAAUCCCAGGAGCUGCUGGCCUCGGAGGCCUGGCUCUAAAAUAGCCUCCUAGGGGAUGCCGGGGAUGCCAAGGAGCCACGCCUCAGCGACAGCACCGCCCCCGCCAGGCGCCCGGCCCGCCGCCUCUCUCAUCCAUCAGAGGAAAGCCCUCCUCUCCCAGAGCGCCGUCCAGGUUGUGCGUCCGCAGAGCCGCCCUGUGGGGGACCUCGGUGUGUGACGUGUGAGGACACGGGGCGCCCCACACGGGGUGGCAGGUGGGCCUGACUUGUCCUGCGAGGCGGCACCUGAAACUGCUCUUUGCCCCGAGGCCACGUGCCAUCUACAGACCCCUGCGAGGACCCCAUGGGCUCUGCCAGGGGAAGGGCUUCCGGGAGCCGGUGCCCAGGACUGCUGCGCUCCAGACUGUCCUCCGGACCACGGCCUCGAUGACUGUCUUAGGUACAAAGGGGACACAGACCCUUCCCAGCUGCCUCUGCAGUGCCCCCGACACACCUCCCC
rnacentral:lncRNA from 1 species